UUUGCUUAAUGCUAUUUUUUAAACUGCCAUCGCCUGAUUUCAACAUCCUUUGGCUGUUCGUACGGUAAUGGAUGACAAAGGGAUUUUGCAUGUUUGCAACUUCAUACUUAUACCACAGGGAAACAACACGGCUAAUGUCAAUGACAAAGAGGUUAAAAGUUUUUGCAAUCGAUUUGGAUGCAUUUCAAAUAUUCCAACAGUGUGAUCAUUUAUUUUAAUGAAGGGAUCAUUUAUUUUUAAUAUCCAUGAGAGCAGAGUAUUUUUGUGAAUUUUUUGAACAAAAGAUCAAAAGGUUAAACAAUAAAGACAAUUUUUUCACAGACUUCUUUGCUCAUAUUUACCAAGGGUGCCAAUAUUAAUGGCGGGCACUACAGAUCAUAUUUAGGUUAGUGGAUAGAUCGACGCAGACGUUCUGCACAGCUGUCUACUGGUAAAUCAAAGUUCAAUCAAAAAGUAUCUCAGUGUACUGCUGCUUUGCUGGACCCUGGAACAGACCCCUACAGUACACACGCAUACAGUAACCACCACAUGGCUAAGGAAGUGUGAAGCAGCACUUUAUCUCUUUCUCUGAGGCGAUACUGGAAGCCCAUUUAUUUUUUAAUUGCUCCCCCCCCCCCAUCUCUUUCCAUCUUUGUUUACAUUCCUUGUUCCUUUGAUAAGUGAAGCAAUAAUGAAAAUUUAAUUUGAGUACAUUUACAGCGGUAAAAUGUCAAAGUCUGAAAAGUUAGCAUUGCAGAAACAAAUGAAAUUGCCCUGAAUAUAUAAAGAAAGAAAUGAUGAAUGCAGCAGGAAGUGCUUUGAAAUAUAUACAUAUAUAUACAUACACACAUAUACACACACAGACAUAUAUAUAAUGUCAAAACAUACUCAUAUUCAGAUGUAUUAUGCACUUCUGAUACUUGUACAUUUUAGUGUAUCUGAUGUUUAUACAACAGGCUCUGGAUCCACCAUGACCCUGACAGGGAUAAAGCCCUUACUGAAGAUGAAUAAACGAAUGAAUGAAUUAUGCUUAUAAGUUAAAGGCUAAAGUGAAACAGUGGUUAUGUUGCAAAUAGUGCUCUAUUCAUUCAGAUUCACAUCUUUUUCAACAAAAAAAAAAAAAGCAAAAAAACAUUCCAUUGUUUCUUGCUGAGAAGAUCAACAAAAUGUCAACUCCAGGGCCGAAUAUAAAAACAGGAGGCGAGGAUAUGUGUGUGCCAGAUUCACGGUCUCUUUCUAUAGCUGUGACAUAUGAUUUCAGCAAAUGAAUGACUUAAAUGAUUUUUUUUAUAGAAAUGAAUCUAGAACUGGAACAUUUCCAAUGCCAUGACACAUUUAGUAAAGUUUUUAAAAACGAGUCAUGAACAGAAUAUACAGGCUAACAACACUGUUUCUCACGUCACUGCUUCACGGCACUGCGUACCGUGACAGAAACCUACUCAGUAAGCAGGAGCUUUUGGACUAACUCACACUGCACCUUGCCAGUUAGUUGUUUUUGCACACAUGUAAUUCAAAUGAAUGCUAAUGCCAGGCCCUAGACAUCUGCAGGCUGCCACUGCUGUGCCAAGUCGGCCAUCAGCGGCAGCAAAUAUCUUCAUUCUACUACAUGCAGUCCAGUUUUUUUUUAAGCCUGCUAUCCUGUUCCUUGCAUGACAGAGAGGGAGCGUGUGCAUAAUUUUGGAAACUGUUUUGAAUUUGACCUCCAUCUUGACGCUGAGGUGCUACUUGUAGUCAUAAUCAGCUAGUCAACCUCUGCCAGGCAAAACAACAUCUCCAUGUACUACCCUGUAGAAGCUUCUUGUCCACCAGCAGAGCACAGGGUCAGAGCGCAGGGUUAGCCAUGAUACAGCGCCCCUGGAGCAGAGUAUUAAGGGCCUUGCUCAAGGGCCCAUCCUUCCGAUCAGUAACCCAGAGCCUUAACCGCCAAGCCGCCACUCCUCCAUAUGCCAUCUCAUCAGGAGCAUGCCCAGACAUUGUCAGGAGUGCAUACAGGCACAUGGGGACCGUACACACUACUGACUAACAUUAUGAGUUGCCGCGAUGGAAUUCCUGCAAGUUGGGCAACACAGAGUUGACCAGUGGACUUCCAUUAAAAGGACAGUAACAUUACACACGUCCCUUUUCCCCCUGAGAAUUCAUGUUUAUCGAUACAGAGACACUAGCCAAUAGUAGGCAUCUGUGAGUACAGGUAUGCAGAAGAGUCUACAGAGAGCUGGCUGGUGGGUUGGAAUGGGCAACUGACCAAAUUGGGGAGAAAAUGGAGAGAAAAUCUGUGGAGAUGCUGUGUAUUUUGUUUUUUGUUUUUAAAAAGUCUUUCACAUUGUGCCACUGUUUACUUUCAUCACACAGUAUUAUGUUGAAAUAUGGCACAAAGUAAUAGAGAGGAGAAAACAUUUUGGCCACACAUGAAAAAGAACUGCUGCCAAAUCUGAGUGAAGAAAGACUAAACUGGGCUGUGCAUUAAGAAUUUUAAUUUAUUUAGAUUUUUCCUAGUAAUGUAUAACCCAACCUGGCCUUCUUGUAUGAAACAUAUAUUGUCACAUGUUGAACAAACAAAACACAUACAACUCACUAACAAUCCUUUUUCAAUGGUGUAAAAAUAGUAGUUCAUCUUGACUUGUAAUGUUAACAUACGAAACUUGUGUUUGUGGGAAAGUGUCAGCAGACACGACUUUGAUUGUUUGGGAAAAUAAAGAGUUGGUCGCACCAAAAAUGCGGCUGUGACUAUUGAUUACUGUAGCGUCUGGUGACCGAGCGUGCCUGUGAGUUAAUGUGUCGAAUUAUGAUGCUUUUCAGAACUAACCAGAACCUUAACCUUAGCUGGGAAAUCCUGAGUCCCAGUACAGUUGGAUGCGUAAGAGAAAUAGGAGAGGAGAAUGCUCAGGUCCACAGAGAGCAAUGCAGCCAGCACUAAUUAACGCGCUUCCCCUUUCAGUUUUUGACACCCCCUUGCUCCCUUCCUGUAAAUCUGGAUGAAACGUUAUUGCAAUAUAGAGAUGAAUAACUCAAGACGGUCAUCUCUCAUGCAUUUUUAAUCAAAAAUUAUUCACUGCUGAUGGCUGAUUUAAGAUUGCAUUUAGUUCUGAGGGGGGGGUUUUCCCCCCAAGAUUCUGUCUGCUGUUUCACCAAUAACACUUCAUGAACGUACAUGUAAAUGCACUACUAUAUGAUCUGCUCGUGUUUUAUUUUAUAUUCACGAUAUUUCAAAAUACAGCAGAAUCCUGCUCAGUGAGUGUGCACUGGUUUAUGAAUUGCUGUCAGGUUUUGAAAUGUACUUGUCAAGUUCUCAAAAGCGAGUGAGAUUCCCGACUGAAUGUGCAACAGUAAGAAUUCCAUGGGUUUAAAACACCAUUUCAGUUCUUGUUUUUCUUCAGCUUGUCUCCUCUGAUGCUCUCCAUCCAGCCCCUCCACGUCAGGCCACAUUCCCAUCGAGGAGCAAUACUAAGCUAAACACCUGAGUGCACUCACACAAAAACUACUUACGUAAAACAUCUCUGACAAGAGCCCUGGGCAGUCUGGGUCUGUUUAAAAAAUAAAGAAAAAAAGAAAAAAUACUUGCCAAACCUGCUAAGGCUACAAACCCUGUAACACUAAACCAAGAUUGCUUCCUGGUUUAUCUAUUUUCUGGAAUGGUGUCAUCUAAGUGUUGUAGGGUGAUAAUGUAUGAUGCAUUGUGCUGUUCGGAUUUAUUUAAUCAAUUUAGGUCCAUCUAAUUGGCUACAAUGAGUGUAUAAUAAUGAAGGCUGUUUUUAAGGUCACCUUCCUGUGUGCCAUAAUCUUCUGUGUAAUAUGAACAGGCUCAUUAGGCGUAAAAAAAUAAAUAAAUAAAUAAAAAAUCAAAUACUACAUUUUAUUCUCUCUGAUCUGAAAAAAGGAGAGAUGGUAAAGCUCAGGAAGCGCACAUUGGAGUGGCAGUUUAUUUACAGUGACUCUCUCUCUCUCGCUGAUGUUAAAGCUGAACCAUAGCAUGCCUAUUAAUAGCACGGCUGCCUCCUCUCCCGUUCUAGGAGACUGCAUACGAACCAUGCCAUCUUCUGGCUGCUAAGCUGCAGCGUGGAAAGUGAAAGCAGGUCUGGUAGCCAAGCAGCAUAAGUGCGCCCUUUAGCGCCAGGUCAUGGACCACACGCUCCGAACAUGGCUCCAACUAUAUCUGUGCGUGCUCACGUGGUUCAACUUUGUAAUAUGGCCGCUCAAUUACGUUCACGUAAAAAAAACUAAGGUAUUUAUAAUGUUACAUUAUGAGGUGGUUUGGGUGCAUGGAAACUCAUGGAUGUUACGGGUAUUUUUGUCAGACUGUCAGUUAUUUCAGUUGCAGCAGCAUGGGAAAUUCUUUGGAAAGUUCCAAAUGGAAUUGCAUCUAUUGCCCCACCUGCAUCCCGGCUCUCCUAAGCACAUAGGCCCAGCUAAUUAUCUUCCUCGCUAGCAUAAGCUGUCUGAUAGCCAAGCUAUUUACACCCAAUGCAAUCCCUCUAAUCUUAGAAAUGCUUCAUCAAAAAUUCUUUCCACACUUUCUUUUCUGCCACCAUCAUGUGACUCACCGUGAGCCAGUGGGGUCAGAUUAACGCUGAUGUGAACAAUGAUGAAUAAAAAGAAACACAUAUUCUGAGAAUUAUAUCACAUCUAACAUGCUAUUAAUGAGUCAUAAAUAAAAAAACGAGCUAAAGGUCUGAAUUCACGCUUGUACAUUGAGCAAUCAGUGCAUUUAAAACAGAAGAACCUCACUGCUCAUGAAAAUCGCUAUAAGAUUAAUUGUGUUUAAGUACUGCUAUAGAAUUUGACUCAGACUUGAUUAUCCUUGUAGAAUUAGAGAAAGAGCAUGCUAAUAUUCUGCACCCCUCCUGGCCAUUAAACUUUUACCUAGUGACAUUUUAAAAUGGCAAACGGUAUGUGAAUAUCAGACUGUUCCUCAAAGUAAUAAUCAACCUUGUGUGUUUUUCUGUUGCCUAAAAAUCUUCCUGGCCUUUCAUGCCAUCUUAUCGGCUUCUUUCACUUAAUCUCAUCCGAGUGAAGUACAAAGAAAGAAUUUUUUUUCCGUUUCGUGUUUUUCGAGCUCAUUUAUGUAUCCUCAUUUAUGUAUCUGUGAAUACAGUCGUGUGAAAAAAUAAGUACACACCAUGGAAAUUGUUGCCUUUUUAUUUUUUUAUUUUUUUUUUACAUAUUUGGAUAAGCAAACAUUUGUUCCUCUUUGAAACAAUGCUUAUUAAUAAAGGUGAUACACUAUCAAAUGACACAUAAAACUGACAUUUUAUAGUAAUUUUCUCAAUUUAAAUGAACAAAAAGCAGACAAGUCACAUGGACAAGUAAGUACACCCCUAAAUCCAUAAAAUUAGAAUCAGGUGUUGAAGACUGGGUGCCAGUAAUUAGAACCUGCUUAUGGAGUGCAGGUGGAACCGGUCUUAUUUAUACCCCUUUCAUAUCUAGUGUUUGGUGUUCCCUUUGCUAUUGAGGUGUGUGGUGCCAUCAUGCCAAAAUCUAAAGAGCCUUCAGAAAAAAGGUUGUGGAUGCCUAUGAGUCUGGUAAGAGAUUUAAAAAGAUCUCCAAAUUAUUUGAAAUGCAUCAUUCCACUGUAAGGAAAAUCAUCUACAAAUGGAGCAGAUUUCAAAAGACUGCCAAUUUGUCCAGGACUGGCCGUCCCAACAAAUUCAGCUCAAGAGCAGACCGUCUGUUAUGAAAAGAAAUCUCCAAGAACCCUAAAAUUUCAUCACAGGAUCUGCUAGAAAGUUUGUGUCAAAGUGCAUGCAUCUACAAUCAGAAAGGAAUUUGACCUGCAUGGGAUGCAUACCAGGAAAAAGACUUUGCAAGACUACAGUUUACAAAUGAGUAUACAGGCAAAGAGCAGGCCUUUUGGAAUAAUGUGCUAUGGACAGAUGAAUCAAAGAUAGACUUGUUUGGCCACAGUAACAGCAGAUAUGUUUGGUACAGACCAAAUACAGCUUUUCAGGAGAAGCACCUCAUACCAACUGUGAAACACGGUGGUGGAAAUGUUAUGGAUUGGAGUUGCUUCGCUGCCUCAGGGACUGGAUAGCUUACAUUCAUCCGUUCAACUAGGAACCCUGCAUCGUAUCAAAGAGUGCUCGGAGAUAAUUUGAGGCCAUUUGUCCGAAAGUUUAAGUUGAACCAAAAGUGGACCUUUCCACAGAAUAAUGAUCCCAAGCACACUCGCAAAUCCGACAAAGGAAUGGCUCAAAAAGAAGAAAUGGAAGGUUAUUAUUGGCCCAGUCACAGCCUGGAUUUGAAUCAUAUUGAAACGUGGAGGCAUUCGAAAUGGGCAGUACAUGCAAGAAAACCCUCAAACAAUUUGCAAUCUUGCAGAGUGGUCAAAAAUUCCAGCAAGCCUGGCAAAACGCCUACAAGAAGAUAUUUCUGCUAAAAGGGCCAAUACUAGCUUCUGAGACCAAGGGUGUACUUACUUUUCCACAAAAGAAUCACACAUCUAUUGAUAUUUCUGUUGAAUAAAUGAUUGAAAAAGCUAAUUUUCCUUGUGUUUUUUGUUCAGGUAUAUCAACAUUAUUAAUAAGCACUGUUUCAAAGAGAAUCGAAUGUUUGCUUGUCCAAAUAUGUCAAAAAAGCCAACAAUUUCCAUGGGGUGUACUUAUUUUUUCACAUGACUGUAGCUUUGUGGAAAAGGGCAAGAUGUUCAGUCUGAAGUACUCUGUGCACUCUUAUUAUUGGUUCUUCUUGCACCUCAUUACUUCAUCCCAGCGAAUGCACACCAGGUGCAUAAGCGUAUGUCUACGAAAAAAUUGAUGAAGGCUUCAAAGUUUACAUUUUCCUCCGUGUACUACAGUAAAGAACCGUUGAAGCUGCGUAUCCAACCUAAACAUCAAAGUUCGGAUUUCUGCACUAGGACAAAGAUGGUUGUGCCUUUGAUGUUCCCUAUGAAGUCAAGUGUAGUGCUGGCUGAUGGUGGGUGUGGUCCAAUCUUUCUGGAGGCUCCUCCAUCUUACUAUGAAAUCUACAUCAAAGGAAUACUGCAGUCAUGCUGGCCAUGGGAUUUCUGGUCAUCACAGAUUGUUUCAGGAACAGCAGCAGCAAAAGUGACUGUGUCUCAU